rnacentral:lncRNA from 1 species
CCCUGUAAGUCAGUGGAAACUUCUUUCCAUGGAUUCAUUUCCAAAUGAAGGAAUGUUAUCGCCAGAUGUCACCCCUUCAGGAUAAACAUAUUCUUCAUAAUAGGGGAAAGUGGACUCCAUGGAGCCGAUCUCGGCUCUGUAGAAUAGGUUUUAUUUUUUUAUAUGUCUAACGUGAGUUGCACUGCGGGCUUUUGGUGGAUGCACUUCCUGCCUCACAUAUGGUUUCGCCAUCAUUUUUAAUAGAACUGAUAUUUUAUAAAGCCAGCUGCUUCAUGUCCAUUGGCACUUCUGCACCUCCAAGGCCUGAACAGCUCUCUAAGACAAGAUGGGGCAGACAAAGGACCAAUCUCCCUAACCCCAUCCCCGUUUCCUCCCCCAGCAAGGCCAAGCACAGCACCACCUUAGGAAAGAAGUACAGAUAUUCACACUCAUUUUUUCCAUUCCCUAAACCAAGAAAAGAAGACAACACUACCUUCCGGCUAAGAGUUUCUAUUAAAGUUAAAACUGGGAACCUGGAGAGAUGGCUCAGUGGUUAGAGCACCGACUGCUCUUCU